AGCGGAGAGAGGUAGCUUGCUACUGAUCUUAGCGGCGGACGGGUGAGUAAUGCUUAGGAAUCUGCCUAUUAGUGGGGGACAACAUUUCGAAAGGAAUGCUAAUACCGCAUACGUCCUACGGGAGAAAGCAGGGGAUCUUCGGACCUUGCGCUAAUAGAUGAGCCUAAGUCGGAUUAGCUAGUUGGUGGGGUAAAGGCCUACCAAGGCGACGAUCUGUAGCGGGUCUGAGAGGAUGAUCCGCCACACUGGGACUGAGACACGGCCCAGACUCCUACGGGAGGCAGCAGUGGGGAAUAUUGGACAAUGGGCGCAAGCCUGAUCCAGCCAUGCCGCGUGUGUGAAGAAGGCCUUAUGGUUGUAAAGCACUUUAAGCGAGGAGGAGGCUACUUUAGAUAAUACCUAGAGAUAGUGGACGUUACUCGCAGAAUAAGCACCGGCUAACUCUGUGCCAGCACCGGGCGGUAAUCAA
rnacentral:rRNA from 1 species